GUCCGAGCGGACGUCAAAGCGGACGUCGGACAGGACGUCGGAGCUGACGCAUGAGCGGGUUGAAUUACAUUAUUUUCAGAGUGAUUCCUCGGCACAGUGCGAGGCAUGUCAUCCGAAUUAGCGGAUUGCGACAAUGAGCAAUUAUAAAGGUGCGGACAGAUAUGUGACGUUGGCGCAUUGACAACGACACUACAGUUUGAUUUACUAGAUUUAGCGAAACACAAACUUGAAUGGUGACGUUUAAGCGGAAAGCAAUUCGAGCAGGUUUUGGUGCUGCUACAAGCGGAAUAUUUAUGCGAGGUACUUAAGCAGUUUGUACAGUAUGAAUUAUUUUUAACAAUUUCGUACCUUUGCCUAGGAGUUAAUUUCAUAAACUCAGUGCACUUGUAUAAGUGGUCAUGCUUUUCAUUUUUACAGAUGACACACUUAUGAUUUUCAUGUGAGCUACGAGCGCUUUCCGUAUUGACAAAAGACUUAGUAGACUUAGUAGACCCCGUGACAGGUGUAGGUAUGUGUUUAGAGCGAGCUUUAUUUUGCAACUGUGCAUUAACAUUGCUCCCUCUAGACAGCACCUUGCUCUGUUCCUUCACGAAAUCUAUAAGACUUUUAUAUGUUGGAAUUUGUUUUUUACGAUUAAUAAGCUCAAACAUUUUAACGGUAUCUUCAUCUAAUUUAAGCGUAGCCAAAUGAAGAAAUAUAAAAUCAGUCAAAUCAAUUUUUAACUGUUUAAGUGCUUCUACCGAUGAAUCAAAAGUGUUUAUGAAAUUAUCUAGUGCGGUAUCAUUAUUAUUAGCAAGUGGCUUAAAUUGCAACACUUGAUUUAAAUAAGCGGAAGCGAGCGAGCGGGGGUCGUCGUACUUCUGUAUUAAGGCAUCCCAGAUGAUAUUAUAAUUUUCAGCUGUUGCUGGCAACCCUGAACAAACUGCGGCAGCCCUAUCAGUUAAUUUUCCGACUAAGUAAAAUACCCUUUCACUAUUAUUUAAAUUCGGGUUAUCAUGAAUCAUACUUUUAAACUGCUGAUAAAACAACGGCCAUUUCGUUAAAUCACCAUUAAAUGAGAUAAGAUCAAUAGGCGGAAGAUGCGAUUUUAAUUUAGGGAACUUUGACAAAGACGCCAUGUUAGAUUCAGAUUCUUUAUUGCUGUUAGUCGCUAAGACUUGUUUGACAUAACAAAAUAAUUCCUCGAAUGACAUCCAUGAUUGAUAAUUAAUAGGAUUUUUAGGAUUUAAUCUUAACUGUAUAGCGUUAUAUGAAUCCAAUGUUUGCUCGAAUUCCUUCCGUAAAGUGUCUAGGUUACCUGACUGGCAUAAAAGAUUAGGUAGUUUACUAGCAUCAAUUUCUACUUGCAAGGCGGCAUCGUAGAUUCGUUGCAUUCGGGCAAACAUCGCAUCGCGUUUCGAUUCCAAUAUUAACAUUUGACAUUCGUCAUGUGUACGCGGUAAAUCUGAAUCACCCUUUGUAGUCAUUUUGAAAACUCAAAGUACCUAAAUAAAUCGAACACAAGGUAAUAUGUUUAGCGGUAAAUAUAUACUAUAAAAUGCGUUGGUUAUACUGUGAAAACACACAACUCCUAUAUUUAGGCGAGCGGUUAAAUUAUUGCGUUGCAAACGUAAAAAUAUUAUUUACGGAACGCGUAUUUGAGUGCAACAAUAAUCACAAUGCUGGUUGAAUACCUACUCCGCGCGCAAUGGCUCGUACCUACAUUAGUCUAUUCAUAAAAUCGACAGCGGAACUUAUGUAGGUACCUUAUUUGCGUCUUAUAAGUAACGACAACUUAAAAUGUUAACUACUACGUACCUAUAAGUAGAUCUAUACGUUUUAUUUUCCAGGUUUGCGGGAUUAUAUUAUUAUGGUUAAAUCUUAUACCGAAAUAAUAAAGCAUGCGGGUAAAUAUGAAAUUUUAUAAAAAAUACUUUAUUACUUCUAACCUAGAAUAUCAAACGAUAGAAUUACGUAGGUAUAUCGUAGGCCGUACUUAUAAUCUAAUAAUUCUGCAAUAUUACGACACAAUGCAACAUUAGGUAUCCAUAAAUCGUGAAUGCUACUUGAAAUAAUUCAAACUUAUUGACUCGACGUAGGUAGGCGGUACUAAAAAUUAUAUUACUAUAAUUUGAUUAAAUUAGAGUCGAGUCAAUUUUAUUAUGAAAUCGGAUGGAUAAGCCCAUAAAUCCGAUUAAAAGAUUAUGAAAUCCGGUUCGAGAAUGGACCAUAAAAUAUGGUAGCUCCAAAAACAAAAAUUAAAGGGGGCUUUAUGCCACCAUAUUUGAAAACGUGCGGUCAAAAUUAUUUUGAUUUUAAUGGACUGUAUUAGCGGUUAAUUGCCCCA